AAUCCAUGGUGAGGGCAAUCUCUCUGGUAGGCUCUAAAUCUCACCCAAGAUGCCUUAAAAGCUUCAGUAGUACCUUGAGAGAAAUUAUAGAUCUUAUUCCUAAAUUC